AGAGUUUGAUUCUGGCUCAGGACGUACGCUAGCGGCAGGCUUAACACAUGCAAGUCGAGGGGCAUCGGGAGGGAAGCUUGCUUUCCUUGCCGGCGACCGGCGCACGGGUGAGUAACACGUAUGCAACCUGCCCUCUUCAGGGGGACAACCUUCCGAAAGGGAGGCUAAUCCCGCGUAUAUCGGUUUCGGGCAUCCGAGAUCGAGGAAAGAUUCAUCGGAAGAGGAUGGGCAUGCGGCGCAUUAGCUUGACGGCGGGGUAACGGCCCACCGUGGCGACGAUGCGUAGGGGUUCUGAGAGGAAGGUCCCCCACACUGGUACUGAGACACGGCCCAGACUCCUACGGGAGGCAGCAGUGGGGAAUAUUGGGCAAUGGGCGCAAGCCUGACCCAGCAACGCCGCGUGAAGGAAGAAGGCUUUCGGGUUGUAAACUUCUUUUGUCAGGGACGAAGCAAGUGACGGUACCUGACGAAUAAGCCACGGCUAACUACGUGCCAGCAGCCGCGGUAAUACGUAGGUGGCAAGCGUUAUCCGGAUUUACUGGGUGUAAAGGGCGUGUAGGCGGGGAAGCAAGUCAGAUGUGAAAACCACGGGCUCAACCUGUGGCCUGCAUUUGAAACUGUUUUUCUUGAGUACUGGAGAGGCAGACGGAAUUCCUAGUGUAGCGGUGAAAUGCGUAGAUAUUAAGAGGAAC
rnacentral:rRNA from 1 species